rnacentral:lncRNA from 1 species
CCCAGUUGAAUGCUGGAGGAGGAGGGUUUAGUGAAGGGAUGUAGGGUGUCCAAGUUUUGGGGUCUCCCAAGUUGAAUGCUGGAGGAGGAGGGUUUAGUGAAGGGAUGUAGGGUGUCCAAGUUUUGGGGUCUCCCAAGUUGAAUGCUGGUGGAGGAGGAGGGGUUAGUGAAGGGAUGUAGGGUGUCCAAGUUUUGGGGUCUCCCAAGUUGAAUGCUGGUGGGGGAGGGGGAGACAGGGAAGGUAUGUGUGGUAUCCACGUUCUGGGGUCUCCCCAGUUGAACGCAGGCGGAGGAGGGGGAGGAAGGGAGAGAGGUGGGGUUGGAGGGAAAGGGAAGGGUAGAGAUGGUGGUGUUUUGAAUGGUAAUGGAGGAAAUGGAAGUGAUGGAAAUGGGGGCAAUGGGGAAAAGGGAAAAGGCAAUGUUGGCAGAGGAGGUAGCCGAGGCAGAGGAGGUAGCCGAGGCAGAGGAGGUAGCUGAGGCAGAGGAGGUAGCUGAGGCAGAGGCGGUAGCUGAGGCAGAGGAGGUAGGGGAGGUAAAGAAGGCCAAGGGAAGCCAAAUGGUGGAAAGCAAGGCAGAAAGAAUUUUGCAGAAUUUAAGUCAUUUGGCAAUUCCUGUGUUUGAUCUCCACAAAUUGUGGUGUUCCUCUUGGAUGGUCUGUAGCUCAAAGCAUUCAAGUUGAAGAUGCAGAGGUUGUCCUGUUUUGAUUUCACCGAGAUGGCAUUAGUCGUCGUCUUCAAGCCAG